AAACGGGUGGUAAUGCCGGAUGCUCCGGUUGGAUGCAUGUCCUUCCGGGAAAGAUUCUAUCGGUAUGGGAUGGGGUCGCGUCCUAUCAGCUUGAUGGCGGGGUAACGGCCCACCAUGGCUUCGACGGGUAGCCGGCCUGAGAGGGCGACCGGCCACAUUGGGACUGAGAUACGGCCCAGACUCCUACGGGAGGCAGCAGUGGGGAAUAUUGCACAAUGGGCGCAAGCCUGAUGCAGCGACGCCGCGUGCGGGAUGGAGGCCUUCGGGUUGUAAACCGCUUUUGAUCGGGAGCAAGCCCUUCGGGGUGAGUGUACCUUUCGAAUAAGCACCGGCUAACUACGUGCCAGCAGCCGCGGUAAUACGUAGGGUGCAAGCGUUAUCCGGAAUUAUUGGGCGUAAAGGGCUCGUAGGCGGUUCGUCGCGUCCGGUGUGAAAGCCCAUCGCUUAACGGUGGGUCUGCGCCGGGUACGGGCGGGCUGGAGUGCGGUAGGGGAGACUGGAAUUCCCGGUGUAACGGUGGAAUGUGUAGAUAUCGGG
rnacentral:rRNA from 1 species